GAGUUGGUAGCUCAGUGGUAGAGUGCGUGCUUUAUCAGUAUGUUUUCCUGGGUUGAAUCCCCAGCUUCUACA